GGCAUGUUAGCUCAGUUGGUUAGCGUGUGGUGCUGUUAACACCAAUGUCACAGGUUAAAUCCCCGUAUGGGACA